rnacentral:lncRNA from 1 species
GUCUCCUCUCGUCUACCAAGGGAUGCCAGCCUCCAUUCCCCUGUAAUACUCUGCCAAGAAGGCAAUCCUGAUAUGGGUGUGAAAUACAUAUCUCAUUCUUGGUAAGAGAGAAAUCUGACUCUGUUAAUUAGAUUAGUGAAAAUUUGAUUCAAGAUUUAUUUCUAUGUUAUAAGAAGGACCGUAUAUAUCAAAUAUCUAUUUCAUUUUCUAUCUAUAUUUUAUGCCUUUUGCUCCUCAGAAAUAUCAAACAACAAAUUUUGGUUCUGAGUAAUGUUCGUGGUUCGUAAACUCAUAUUCAAUGUUCAAACAUUAAAAUUAAUCAUACAUUUAGAAUUCUAUGAAAUUAUUCGUUUUUCUUGCGGUGGGACCCUAUCAAUGUGACACAGUUCUCUUUUUCAAUUUGAAAAGUUUAUUUUAGUGGUAGAACUUUUAUUGUUCUUAAUAUUGCAUUCUAAGUAAUUUAAUUUCGUAGUGUUUCCAUUUGAUCUUAUAUAUGUAAUAAUAAAUUAUAUCACCAUUUUUCUUGUGCAAGUGUGAUGAUGCUAUUGGAAACUUGAUAAACAAUGAAGAUUAUGCUCCAACGCUUUUCCGGGGAAGUAUUUAAAUUCGCAUGGAUACUAAAUUUGGAUCCGGCUUCUAUUUAUUGAUUCACAAGGUCAGUCUUCAUCUUGAUACAGAUGAAAUUAUAUCAAAUGAUAAUAAAUCAGGUCUCGGUUGUUUCCAACUCAAGUAAGUGGUCUAGGAGCAAUCUAUCUUUUUCUUAUUUCGAAAACAUCGAUGGCUGCAAAGAAGACAUCAGGCGGCCAGAGAAAAAGGAAAAGAAUAAUCAGAAAGAGUGCUUCCGAGUGCCACUUUUAUAUGAUACUUGCAAGGAGGUGUUUGAGAACGACGACCCUCGAAUUAUUUCCUUCCCCAGAGAACGUCCAAAGGCUUAAGGAUGUUUAUAUGAUACUUGCAAGGAGGUGUUUGAGAACGACGACCCUCAGAUUAUUCCCUCCCUGGAGAACGUCCAAAAGCUUAAGGAUGUUAUGAGCUCUAUAUGAAUACAACUGACUCAAAAUAUGGCGAUGCACUACAAAUCAUUGUAGCUAUAAAGAUUGAUGAUAAUUAUCAGAAGAUACGAGUUUUUCUUGUAAUUUCUUUGUAGAAGAUGUAAUUUUGUUUUGUA